GAGAAAGGAGAGAGUAUAACAUUUUAACCAUUCUUGGACAAUUUCAUUUACUUGCCCUCUCUGGACCUCAGUUUUCAUCUUGAAACAGGCCCAGAGUUGAAGGAGAUGAACUAUAAGAUACCUUCCAAUUCUACAUGCAAUGAUUCUAUGAAUUGUGUUAAUCUAAGGGGAUUCACAAAAGAGAAGCUGCCCACACUUGCCAGGAAUAUAGAUAUCAGAGCUAAAAGUGACAACCACAUCAACGUUGAAUUCAUAUUCAAAGUCAGUUUUCAAGCUUUAAAUCUCAUCUUAUGUCACUGCCAUUUUGAAGACUGGAGAGAAGAAAAGUGCAGGAAUGUUCAGUCCAGCUGGCUGGGAGAUAAUGAGACAGCUAGUUCCUGCAGUAAAUUGACAUUUGGUGGAGAUCUAUCAAUAGACCUUCAUUAGACACUUCGGGUUCAGCCUACGCAGAAGUGAAUUUUUUCUAGUCUGGUCCUCACAGAAGGUGGAACAGUCUCUUCUCAUGAAAGAUACUUCUAGGGAGAAGGGGACUUAGACCAUAGAUGGAAACUAGAGAGCAGUCCACAGAAAGUGUUCCUUCAAGCCAGGGCUUGGCAAACUUUUCUAUAAAGGACACAUACAAAGUAUUUUCCAUUUUGCAACACAUACGGCCUCUGUAGCAACUACUCAACUCUGUCAUUGUAGCACAGAAGCAUCCAUAGACAAUACAAAACUGAAUGGACCGAUGUUCUAAUAAAACCUUAUUUUCACCAACAGACAACUGGCCGAAGUUUGUUGACCUUUGCUCAGUAUUUCCCAAAGCAUUGUAAACAUACCACCACAGGUACAUGGGUAUACUGGGUGACUUUAAGUAGCUCACAAAGAAAUAUUUCAAAUUUUAAGUUAUGUUUAUGAUUUAAUGUUUAUCAGAUACAAAUAUAUAAUUGCCUUAUCAAACUCAAUGUCAUGGAUAUUAUUGCUUAGGAUAAAGCUAAAUUUAUUUUUAAAAGCAAGUUGAUGUAAAGAAAAGGAAUAAGUAAAUAACAGAAGAAAAUUGAUAUUGCAAAAGACUCAUAGGUGAUAUGAGUAGCCAAAGCCUAGAAACACUGCUCUAAUUUGCAUUUAUAUCUUUGUCAUGAGCAUGAUGGUAUGACCUCACUUCAUCUUUACAGUCAGUAUUAUCACUAUACUGGGCCCAACAGAAAGGCCACUAAGAGACCAUUUCAGACCUAUGGACUGGAUUUUCCCUCUUGGAAAUGUCUACUGCUCACAGAUUGGUUCACAAAUGUGAACUACGGCUUGUCUGAAGUCUUUCAAUGAUCAUAUGACCAUAUCUAUGAUUUUAUUUGGGAUAAGCUUUUGAUAUUUUUUUAAAGUUAAAGAAAAAUAGAAAGUUCCUUUUUUUGUAUUUAAAAAGAAAAAGGUAAUUCCAUUAAAUCACAGAACCUUUGUUGAAAGUAAAAUCAGAGAUCAUUACAUAAAUAGGUGUUGAAGGGUUUGCUUGCUGUGGGGGUGGAAGGGAAUAGCUUUCUGUUUACCACUAUGCCAUUUAUGAAAAUUAUGUUUUAGAACCCAGUUUAGCUCAAACAACAGAGAAUAAAAAUAAAAAGAUCAAAGAAAGUAAUAUCUUUCUCACUCUUACCUCUUUUCUAGAGAGUUAAGCCUUUUGACAAUUCACUCUUUUUUUAAUAAAUUUAUUUUUUAUUGGUGUUCAAUUUGCCAACAUAUAGAAUAACACCCAGUGCUCAUCCCGUCAAGUGCCCACCUCAGUGCCCAUCACCCAGUCACCCCCACCCUCACUCUUAAGGUCCCCCUUUGAUUUCUGGGUAGUGACUUCAUUCCUAGGUGAGACAAGUUGCCUACUUUCUAAAAGGAAAGGUCAACCCAGCACAAGUGAGUAUCAAUUUCACUAUGUAUUCUCAUUGGCCUUUACAAUUUGAACUUCUACAGUCAGUGAUCUGAAUAAGCAGAGCAGUUUAGACUCAAGAACAAGAUACAACUGUAUUCAAACUCCAGUUUGGCCAUUGUUUGUCCUGCUUUGUAGAAUUGUGAUAACUAGUCAAGGAAAAUUCUGUAAAGUCUCUAACAUGGUUUCUGAUGAGGGCUGCUACAUUUAGCAAAGAAAAAUAGAGGCAAUCUGUAUUUAUCUAGCAAUUUUAAUCUGUCACAGUGUACCCUUGGAAUACAUUUUAAAAAUUAUUAUCUUUCUUAAAAACACAGGACCUUUCUGUCUGUUCAUGGUGUUAGUUCCAGGAAAAACCUGAACCAGUCUUGCAACAAGCAUGUAACAAAUUAUCUUUUCUCUUUGCCCAGAAAUUAGAUUUAUAGAGAAAGGGGAAGGAAAGAUCAAGUUUGUGUUAAACAAAACAGGUUUGAAAAAAAGCAAGCAAACUGGGGUGGGGGGAAAGCCAUGCUUAUGAGAAAAGUAGUCUCUGAAAAGGUCAUAUAGCUAUAUCUCCUGACUACAACUUCCUCACAAUUUUGCACUGAAUCCACAUCAGAAUCCAGUUCUUGAUAGCCCUCUGUGGCUUACUUAACAUAGGGCAGACCUAUAAUAGUUAAAGAGGGAGAAGGUCAAAGUUCAGGAGACAUAUGAAACCCUCCACCCAUUUUUCCCAGAGUAAAGAACAGAGCCAGGCUUUCCGGACAACAUCCAUAUUCACCUCUCAUAGAAGCUAUGACCAUGGAAAUCAUUAUUGUUUCUAGCUAUGGGACAGCAUGUGCUGAUGAGGUUGGUCGCUUAACAGUAUGUUUUCCUUUUUCCUAAAAUGACUGAGUAAAAAGAAGUCAAUGUUCUCCACCCUAAGAGAGCAUAAAGAACAAAUAAUACUCUACAACUGGCUUGUUUUCUAGGAUGUUUCUUCUUACAGACUUUCUGAAGAUGAAUGGCUGAUGGUGUGUCUCACCCACUCUGUCAAUACAAGAUGGCUAUAUAAAACAGGAGGAAAAACUGCUCUUGAACUGGAAUUAGUACAUUAUUUGUCUUAACUAUAACAAAAAUAUUCAGAUGUGACUCAUGUGACCAUUGCCAGGCACAGUAUUUUUUAAAAAAAGAAUAAAACAGAUCUUUGCUUCCUGUAAUAUGGCUAAUACAUAUUCUGUAAAGUACAUUCAUUAAAAUAUAACUAGAUCCUGAAUAAAUAACAAAAAUCAAUCUUUACAAAACAUUGCUGAGCUCACAAGAAAGUAGCAUCAAAUAGCUCAUGUUCAGUGGAAGGAGGGGGAGAAGAAGUGAAAAAACUAUAACCAGAAAGAUGAGCA
rnacentral:lncRNA from 1 species